CCUACGGGGGGCAGCAGUGAGGAAUAUUGGUCAAUGGACGCAAGUCUGAACCAGCCAUGCCGCGUGCAGGAAGACGGCUCUAUGAGUUGUAAACUGCUUUUGUACGAGGGUAAACGCAGAUACGCGUAUCUGUCUGAAAGUAUCGUAUGAAUAAGGAUCGGCUAACUCCGUGCCAGCAGCCGCGGUAAUACGGAGGAUUCAAGCGUUAUCCGGAUUUAUUGGGUUUAAAGGGUGCGUAGGCGGUCUGAUAAGUUAGAGGUGAAAUUCUGAGGCUCAACUUCGGAAUUGCCGCUGAUACUGUUCGGCUAGAGAGUAGUUGCGGUAGGCGGAAUGUGUGGUGUAGCGGUGAAAUGCUUAGAUAUCAUGCAGAACACCGAUUGCGAAGGCAGCUUACCAAGCUACUUCUGACGUUGAGGCACGAAAGCGUGGGGAGCAAACAGGAUUAGAUACCCGAGUAGUC
rnacentral:rRNA from 1 species